rnacentral:rRNA from 1 species
GACGAACCGUCCAAACGUUAUUCGGAAUUACUGGGCUUAAAGGGUGCGUAGGCGGCGCGGAAAGUUGGGUGUGAAAUCCCUCGGCUCAACCGAGGAACUGCGCUCAAUACUACCGUGCUCGAGGGAGAUAGAGGUGAGCGGAACUUAGGGUGGAGCGGUGAAAUGCGUUGAUAUCCUAAGGAACACCGGUGGCGAAAGCGGCUCACUGGAUCUCUUCUGACGCUG